rnacentral:rRNA from 1 species
UACGUAGGGGGCGAGCGUUGUCCGGAUUCAUUGGGCGUAAAGAGCGUGUAGGCGGCCAGGUAGGUCUGCUGUGAAAACUCGAGGCUCAACCUCGAGACGUCGGCGGAAACCAUCUGGCUAGAGUCCGGAAGAGGAGAGUGGAAUUCCUGGUGUAGCGGUGAAAUGCGCAGAUAUCAGGAAGAACACCCGUGGCGAAGGCGGCUCUCUGGGACGGUACUGACGCUGAGACGCGAAAGCGUGGGGAGCGAACAGG